rnacentral:rRNA from 1 species
CCGCAUGCCUACAAUCAGUCGAAGCUCUUUUUAGAGUGACGGCGUACCUUUUGUAUAAUGGGUCAGUGACUUAAUUUAUUAAGCAAGCUUAAGCCAUCUAGGUGUAGGCGCAGCGAAAGCAAGUCUUAAUAGGGCGAUUAGUUUAAUGAAUUAGACCCGAAAACGAAUGAGCUUACCAUGAGCAGGUUGAAAGCAAGGUAACACUUGCCGGAGGACCGAACCAGUUGACGUUGAAAAGUCUUUGGAUGACUUGUGGUAAGGGGUGAAAGGCCAACCAAAUUCGUAGAUAGCUGGUUUUCCGCGAAAACUAUUUAGGUAGUGCGUUGAAUAAAUAGAUGUUUAGAGGUAGAGCACUAAAUGGGCUAGGGGGAAGAGAUUCUUACCAAACCUAAUAAAACUCCGAAUGCUAGACAUUGUUCUUCAACAGACAGACUGUGGGUGCUAAGGUCCAUGGUCGAGAGGGAAAGAGCCCAGACCACCAGAUAAGGUCCCAAAAUUAUGAUUAAGUGUGAAAGGAUGUGGAAAUUCCUUAACAGCCGGGAGGUUGGCUUAGAAGCAGCCAUCCUUUAAAGAUAGCGUAACAGCUCACCGGUCUAAUAGAGUUUCUGCGCCGAAGAUGUAACGGGGCUAAAAUCAUAUACCGAAUCUGUGGGUUUAUAAAACUUUCGAGUUUUAUAAGCGGUAGCGGAACGUUCUGUAAGCCUGUGAAGGAGUACCCGUGAGGGACUCUGGAGGUAUCAGAAGUGCGAAUGCUGACAUAAGUAACGAUAAAAGAAGUGAAAAACUUCUUCGCCGAAAAUCCAAGGGUUUCUGCGCAAGGUUAAUCCGCGCAGAGUUAGUCGGCACCUAAGGCGAGGGCGAAAGCCGUAGUCGAUGGAAAUAAGGUUAAUAUUCCUUAACCAGAUGGUAGUGACGGAUCUUGUAAGUUGUGAGUUCUUAAUGGAUUGAACUUGCCGCGAAAAGGUUCCAAGAAAUAGCUCCAUCAUUAGACCGUACCCUAAACCGACACAGGUGGAUUAAUAGAGUAUAUUUAGGCGCUUGAGAGAAUGAUGUUGAAGGAACUCGGCAAAAUGCUUCCGUAACUUCGGGAUAAGGAAGACCCUCCUGUAGGCAACUAUGGAAGGGUGGCACAAGCCAGGGAGAAGCGACUGUUUAUCAAAAACACAGGG